AUACCUUUCUCGGCCUUUGGCUAAGAUCAAGUGUAGUAUCUGUUCUUAUUAGUUUAAUGUCUGAUUAUAUGGAAUUUGUAUAUUCUAACCAGUUAUUUUUUAGAAGUACCAUGU
rfam:Gossypium raimondii chromosome 7, whole genome shotgun sequence.